ACAAGCCUUCAGGCUCCUGAGCUCUAGGCAGUCUCAAAGCUGGCAUGGCCAGCCUAGCCCCUUUCUGAUAACCAUGCCUUUCAUCCAGGUGACUCACAGUUCUGCUCUUCUAAGAUGGCCAAACCAGGAUUUCAACAGUCGCUUGAGGCCUAGAGAAAGUGGUUUGGGGCUCAUGGCUGACAGGAACACACAUGGAGAGGAACAGAAAAACCCAAGGCUUCUUGGGGGGACAGGGCAUCCAGCAGGGCUCUUUGAACUGUGCUAGGAUUCUCCUUUUGCCACGGGAAAAUGAGAGAGCUCACUAGUAGGUGCUGAGCCUUCCUCCGCAUAUCCAGAUCAGACAUCGUGGGUGCCCUGAAUAGACCCUGCAGCCCAGGGCCAUUUCCUGCCCUCUCUUCCUUCUCCACUUUCCCUCACCAAGGCCAUGCAAAAGCAAGCACACAGUACAGUCAGAGGAUUAGCAACCUCAGCUAAGUGCAUCAGGAUGUGUCUUUCCAACUCCAUCCAGGCCCCUCCCAUGAGGCCCACGUCUGGUGAAUUAUCCAGACUCUGCACAAGCUGUGGCUUCCUUUUGAUACAACAAACAUUUCCUGAGCAUCUUCUCCCAGUAAUCCAGCCAGUGGGCGAGGGUGACUCUGCCAGCCGGAGGGAGGGAAGACACUCAGUCAUCCAACAGCUCAAGGCUGAAUGGCAAGUGCUGUUCUCAUCUGUAGAAGCCUGGUAGCCCCGGGUGUGAUGAGGGUAGGUGCCUGAAGAGACCCACCCUGCCUCUGCUCCCCUCUUUUGAUAUGGCAUGUGCCCUUUGCAUCUUGGUGGCACCAUGCAGCCCCCUCCUCCCUUCCUCUCUACAAGGGUAACUGGGUCUUCCAUAACCCUCAUCUUUACACGUGAGGCCUUCAACUUGGGUUCCUGCCUUGUUCUUCCUUCCUGCCUCUUGGUUCCAUGUCUAUUCCCUCUACUCAGGCAAGGGUGACUGACUCUUCAGCAAGUCAGGCUGUUUAGAGAACUCUUCUCAUGUUUUUGUGUGAUGUGUGGUACAGGUUGAACUCAGUGGGGCUGGGGAAGGCCUGAACGUUAGCAUUUCUAACAUGUCCCAGGUGAGGGAGCCAUGGCCUCCUUUUUGGCCUGAAGAACCCUUUGAGGAGUCAGGUUCUGGAUUCGAGUGUGAAGGGUUCAGAUUAGAGCAGACUCUAGAUCUAAAGCAAGUUUCCAGCUCUGCAAGAACUAGGGGGAUGCUACCCUGCCAAGUGGAAGAGGUUUCCUGGCUUUAGACGUGCCCACAGGUGGUGGCUGAGAGGAAGUCCAGAAAGGGAAAAAAAUAGGAGACACGCCUGGGCCCGAGUGUAGAAUCCAAAUUCACGUUUUCAUUUUGCCUUCCAGUCUCAAGUAUAUUUUGACUUUGAAGUGUGACACAGGCCCUGGAGCUCAUGACUCCUCAAGAUGGGACUGGAACAGAGCAUGUUCAGGCAGAGAGAGCUCUUGAGUCCACAUGUUGCAAAGAAAUGGCUGUGAUCAGGAAUCUGAAUCCUUGGCUGGGCCGUAGGUUGAUAGAGUCCAUUCUCAGCACGCAUGAACUCAUAGGUUCAGUCUUAGACAGACAGACAGACAGACAGACAGACAGAGGAGAUGAGAAGAAAAGAAAGG
rnacentral:lncRNA from 1 species